rnacentral:rRNA from 1 species
GAUGAACGCUAGCGGGAGGCCUAACACAUGCAAGCCGAGCGGUAUUGUUUCUUCGGAAAUGAGAGAGCGGCGUACGGGUGCGUAACACGUGUGCAACCUGCCUUUAUCUGGGGGAUAGCCUUUCGAAAGGAAGAUUAAUACUCCAUAAUAUAUUGAACGGCAUCGUUUAAUAUUGAAAGCUCCGGCGGAUAGAGAUGGGCACGCGCAAGAUUAGCUAGUUGGUGAGGUAACGGCUCACCAAGGUGAUGAUCUUUAGGGGGCCUGAGAGGGUGAUCCCCCACACUGGUACUGAGACACGGACCAGACUCCUACGGGAGGCAGCAGUGAGGAAUAUUGGUCAAUGGGUGCAAGCCUGAACCAGCCAUCCCGCGUGAAGGACGACUGCCCUAUGGGUUGUAAACUUCUUUUGUAUAGGGAUAAACCUACCCUCGAGAGGGUAGCUGAAGGUACUAUACGAAUAAGCACCGGCUAACUCCGUG